GAAUUCAGAUGGCAUGAACAUUUACCUGGUUUUGCCACGUUCCCGUUCACCUGCCUCCUUGCACACCUGAGUUCAGGAGCCUCAUCCUUCCACUAGAGGGCGUGGUGUCAUAGAUGCCAACUGUGCCACCUGGGCUGUCCCAGUGUUCUGACCUCAGCCCUUGAGAAGGCAAGAGCUUGUUCCUACUGGUCUGGAAUGAACUUAAGAGCUCUGCCCCCUGUGUUGUAAUGGAACUGGGAAGGGAGCUUUCAUUUAUGAGCCAACUACACACUUGAUUGAUUCACAAGCAGGUCCUGUCCAGCAUUCCCUCACCAACGGACACCAGGGCCGUGCAACACAACCCCCCACUGCAGGCGUCAGCAAACGGGCUGAAUGAAGGGCAGUCAUUAUCACAGCGAGAGGCCAACCGCCAGCCAUCCCACCCACCCCUGAGACCCGGCCCCGCAAUGGACACCCAGCCGGGCAGCACAGCCUGAGCCCAGGCAGUGCUCCAGAUGAAGGCUGUCCCCUUAGCGGUGAACACGAGGUGCAAAGCCC